GACGUAGGGGGCAAGCGUUGUCCGGAAUCAUUGGGCGUAAAGAGCGCGUAGGCGGCCCUGUAAGUCCGCUGUGAAAGUCAAGGGCUCAACCCUUGAAUGCCGGUGGAUACUGCAGGGCUAGAGUCCGGAAGAGGCGAGUGGAAUUCCUGGUGUAGCGGUGAAAUGCGCAGAUAUCGGGAGGAACACCUAUGGCGAAAGCAGGUUUCUGGGCCAUCACUGACGCUGAGCUGCGAAAGCUAGGGGAGCAAACAGG
rnacentral:rRNA from 1 species